rnacentral:rRNA from 1 species
UACGUAGGGGGCAAGCGUUGUCCGGAUUUAUUGGGCGUAAAGCGCGUGUAGGCGGCCCGGUAAGUCCGCUGUGAAAGUCGGGGGCUCAACCCUCGGAUGCCGGUGGAUACUGUCGGGCUAGAGUCCGGAAGAGGAGAGUGGAAUUCCUGGUGUAGCGGUGAAAUGCGCAGAUAUCAGGAAGAACACCUAUGGCGAAGGCAGCUCUCUGGGACGGUACUGACGCUGAGACGCGAAAGCGUGGGGAGCGAACAGG